GGGGAGCAGGAACAGCAGCUUUCUUGAAGGAGGUCAUUAGAUUUUAUUUCUGACCUCAUUUUAUAUCCUAUGCAGGACAGGUCUUCAUCAGUCAGAAUGGCAGCUUAGCCUUCCCUGGAUCUUCCUGCUGUGACAGGACUGCUGAAAGGUCAACAUGAGAGAUCGUGGUGAAAGGAAAGCAUGUGAAGUAGCUUUUCCCUUCUUCAGGCUACUUCAUAUAAAGACAUAGACUUCUGGUUGCAGCUUCACAUAUGGAGUGGAUUAGAAGUGCUGGUAAACUACAACAUCAGCAUGGGGGUUGUGUUUUAGAUACCCAAGAAAGCAAAAGGAAAUACCGAAGGACUAAAAGAGAAUCAAGUGAGUAUUCUGACAGCAAAUCAACUUCAUAAAUGGAGAGGUAAAGAAACUCUAGGUGAUGGGGAAGACAGACUAUAGGACAAGAUGUCCAAGAAGGUUAAAACUAAGAGUAUGAAGAGACAUGUUUGGCUUUUAACAGAUUAACAUGAAGGAAGUCACAUAGACUCAGAAAAAGGCCAUCCCCAUGUGCCAAAAUGUGAGCUUCUUAUAGUCAGUUUAAUCCAAGCUCUAGGAUUAAGCUCUAUCCUUGCCUCAAAUGGAAGACUGGCCUGGCUGCACAGAGAGCUUCGGAUGGAACUCAAGGAUAAAAAAAAAAAAAAAAACAAAUUAUGAUUUUUGGAAGAAGGGAUAGGCAACUCAAGAGGACUGCAAGGAUGUUGUGAGAGUAUGCAUGGAGAAAAUUAGAAGGGCAAAGCCCAAGGAAAACCUAAUCUGGCUACUGCCAUAAACUACAAAACCAAAUGCUUUUAUAAAUACAUUAGGCACAAAAGGAGUGUGUCAGAGACGGGAUUCAUAUCUCACCAGAUUGACUGGUGGGUUAAUAAAUCAUGUUGCCUGUGUGUGCUGGGUGGGGAGAAGAAGGGUCAGGCUUAGGCCUGGAGCCAAACCAGCUGUGCUCAUGCAGAGCACAUGGCAGGGAAAGCCAUGGGGCUGGGCUGUCAGUCAAUAAGGCCACCUGGGGGCCCAUCCACAGCACUCCCCCAGAGGCCCUGGGUGGCUGUGGCACCCCUCACUUUGCCUGGGGGGACAGUGGUUGGCAGUGAGCCCAAGGUCCCACCUAGGGGGAGCGGCCAGAGCCUGUACACAAACACAUCUGGUCUCCAUCUCCCCUUGGCUUCUACCCUCCUGGCCUGUCAAUGUGUGACCUCCAGAGUGGGAAAUAUAUCUCUCUCCUCUCUUUCUGCCUCUAUUCUUUCUUCUCUUAGUCUCUCUUCCUUUACUCCUGUGAGCAACUUAAACACCUAUUUUCUGUAUUUCACCUAAGUUGCGAGUAUCUCGCUUAAGUUGUAUGGGGUUUGUGUUUGCUGGGUGUA